ACCUCUAUUUUUCUACAUGUUUAUCCUUCCAAUUUAGUUCAUUACUUUCUGCACCUUUGAUGUCAUAUAUAUAAACAGGAAAUAACACAUGGUGGCUGGGAUGUAGAGAGAGCCACAGGACUUGUGAAUAAAAUCCACAGGCAAGGAUGUGGCGAUUCCUUUUGCAAUAUUGGAGGGAAUGCCAAACCCUAUGUUUGCUGUGGAAAAGAGUAUGGUAUUUCCUCAAAACAUCAAAAUGGUAUUGCCUUAUGAUUCGGCAGC
rnacentral:lncRNA from 1 species